UACGGUGGGGACUAGCGUUGUUCGGAAUUACUGGGCGUAAAGCGCACGUAGGCGGAUUUGUAAGUCAGGGGUGAAAUCCCGAGGCUCAACCUCGGAACUGCCUUUGAUACUGCGAAUCUCGAGUCCGGAAGAGGUGAGUGGAAUUCCUAGUGUAGAGGUGAAAUUCGUAGAUAUUAGGAAGAACACCAGUGGCGCAGGCGGCUCACUGGUCCGGUACUGACGCUGAGGUGCGAAAGCGUGGGGAGCAAACAGG
rnacentral:rRNA from 1 species